rnacentral:rRNA from 1 species
AGAUGGCGACCGGCGCACGGGUGAGUAACACGUAUCCAACCUGCCGAUAACUCGGGGAUAGCCUUUCGAAAGAAAGAUUAAUACCCGAUGGCAUAAUUAGACCGCAUGGUCUUAUUAUUAAAGAAUUUCGGUUAUCGAUGGGGAUGCGUUCCAUUAGGCAGUUGGUGAGGUAACGGCUCACCAAACCUUCGAUGGAUAGGGGUUCUGGGAGGAAGGUCCCCCACAUUGGAACUGAGACACGGUCCAA